UACGAAGGGUGCUAGCGUUGUUCGGAAUUACUGGGCGUAAAGCGCGCGUAGGCGGCUAUUCAAGUCAGGGGUGAAAUCCCACAGCUCAACUGUGGAACUGCCUUUGAAACUGUAUAGCUAGAGUGUCGGAGGGGAUAGCGGAAUUGCUAAUGUAGAGGUGAAAUUCGUAGAUAUUAGCAGGAACACCGGUGGCGAAGGCGGCUAUCUGGACGACAACUGACGCUGAGGCGCGAAAGCGUGGGGAUCAAACAGG
rnacentral:rRNA from 1 species